rnacentral:rRNA from 1 species
GAUGAACGCUGGCGGCGUGCCUAACACAUGCAAGUCGAACGAAGCUUGACGGAUGAUUUCUUCGGAAUGAAACCAGAUAUGACUUAGUGGCGGACGGGUGAGUAACACGUGAGCAACCUGCCUUUCAGAGGGGGAUAACGGCUGGAAACGGUCGCUAAUACCGCAUGAUGUGUUCGGAUGGCAUCAUCUGAACAUCAAAGAUUUAUCGCUGAAAGAUGGGCUCGCGUCUGAUUAGAUAGUUGGUGGGGUAACGGCCUACCAAGUCUACGAUCAGUAGCCGGACUGAGAGGUUGAACGGCCACAUUGGGACUGAGAUACGGCCCAGACUCCUACGGGAGGCAGCAGUGGGGGAUAUUGCACAAUGGGGGAAACCCUGAUGCAGCAACGCCGCGUGAAGGAUGACGGUUUUCGGAUUGUAAACUUCUUUUCUUAGUGACGAAGACAGUGACGGUAGCUAAGGAAUAAGCAUCGGCUAACUAAG